CCUUUUAAACGUCUUAUUUUCCUUCCGUGGAGUCACUCUGUAAGUUGAUUUUUGUAUCUUGAAAACACACUUCUUUUGAUACUGAAUAUGGUUCUAAACUAUUAUUCUAAUGUUCCCUAAUGGUUAUAUCUUUAUUUAAUCCAAAAAUCUUAAGUCUUAAAAUAAAAAAUUUGGGGUAUUCAUGGUGAAGUUAUGAAAUGGUAUUUGGAUGAUUUAAAGGUUAAUUUGAAUUUUAUUUUUGACGAUAUUUCAGAUCUGAACUCCAUAGGUUAUGUGUAAAUUGAUUCUUUAAUAAAAUUUUAGUUUUUCCCUUAGGACUUGGGAUUCAAUUUUUGAUUAAAAAAUUUAAGUAUAUCAAUAUUGGUAACGUUGGACUUGUAUUUAUGCAUAAAGACUAUUUUUGAUAGACAAGGAUCUUUUUCAAACAAAUCAGAAGGGGAAGGCUAUUUUAUGACAAUUGGUGGCUUAUGAUUAGGCUUCAAGAUAGGCGAUGGCUUAAAUUAUUUUACACUUUUAUAGAGUGGGUACUUAUCAUGUAAAGCAUGCUAUGGAUUGAGAAAAUUUUGUGAUUUAUUGUGAAAAUGCUUGAUUUGUUUUUCAAACCAUGAUAAUGAUGUGACUCAUAAUUUUUGGCUUGACAUUAAGGCUUUUGGCCUAUGGUCAUGUGUUGAUUGAUAAAUUUUUGAUUUCAUAUAUAUCAGUUGUACAAGUAAAGAUCAUCCACAAGGUGCACAGGCCAAACAACUUUGAGGUCAUGGAAAAAAUUUUGGUGGAAGUACUAUAGGGAGAGGUGGUGUGGAUCCUGCAAAGGAGGAAACGUAAAUUUAUGUUAGAGGUCAUUGUUAUUCCUUCAUAGGAAAAUCCAAAGUCGAGGCUUCUAUUGUUGUCAUUAGAUGUACUCUUCUCUUCUGUGAUUGAAUGGCUUUAAUUUUGUUAUGACCCGAGCCUGGGCCCUAGCCGUGAUGAUCAUCCCGAACCAUGGAGGCUCGAGCGCCCUUCUAUUUCGGGUAAACAUGCACAAUACUCAAUAAUAAAGAAAAGAAUAAGGAAAUGAAAGGAACGGAUUCAUGUUCAUACUAUGAAUUCAAUUUAACAAUACUGGAAAGAAAUCCAUCAACAUCUAAACAACGUCUAUUUAAAUCUAUGAAAUCUCUACUACAUAUGACAUUAGUAACUGUCUGAGUCUGGGAGCAGGACCCUAGUUGACCAAUACCAUAAUUAAAUAAUAAUACUCUAAGAAUGGCCUUCCGAAGUAAGGGAGUCUCACCAACUGCACACUUCUGACUGUCAACUCUACGGUUUAGCAAGACCUUUAGACUGAGCCUCAGACCCUAAAAGAUAGGGGGUCAAUACAAU
rnacentral:lncRNA from 1 species